GACGAACGCUGGCGGCGUGCCUAAUACAUGCAAGUCGAACGCAGUGGGGACGGGGGAGUAACACGUGGGUAACCUCCCAUCAGAGGGGAGAACAUUUGGCAACAGGUGCUAAACCGAUACUGAUGGAUGGUCCGGGGGUGCAUUAGCUAGUUGGUGAGGUAACGGAGUACCAAGGCGACGAUGCAUAGCUGACCUGAGAGGGUGAUCGGGCACACUGGAACUGAGACACGGCCCAGACUCCUACGGGAGGCAGCAGUAGGGAAUCUUGGGCAAUGGACGAAAGUCUGACCGAGCAAUGCCGCGGGAGUGAAGAAGGUUUUCGGAUCGUAAAGCUCUUUUGUUAGAGAAGCGGUAUCUAACCAGAAAGCCACGGCUAACUACGUGCCAGCAGCCGCGGUAAUUC
rnacentral:rRNA from 1 species